rnacentral:rRNA from 1 species
UAGCCUUGACAUUGAUAGAAUACACCAGAGAUGGAGUAGUGCCUUUCGGGGAACUUGAAAACAGGUGCUGCACGGCUGUCGUCAGCUCGUGUCGUGAGAUGUUGGGUUAAGUCCCGCAACGAGCGCAACCCUCGUCCUUAGUUGCCAGCAGGUUAAGCUGGGCACUCUAAGGAGACUGCCUUCGUAAGGAGGAGGAAGGUGAGGACGACGUCAAGUCAUCAUGGCCCUUAUGGCUAGGGCUACACACGUGCUACAAUGGGGCGUACAGAGUGUUGCGAUACCGCGAGGUGGAGCUAAUCACUUAAAGCGUCUCUCAGUUCGGAUAGCAGUCUGCAACUCGACUGCUUGAAGCUGGAAUCACUAGUAAUCGUAGAUCAGUAAUGCUACGGUGAAUACGUUCCGCGGGUCU